rnacentral:tRNA from 1 species
UUAUUUCCCUUUAAUUAAAUUAUCCUUAUCUCAACCCGUGAGUUGUUCUUUGCUUUGCUUCUCUCCCUCCUCAUCUAAAGGAGGGGGAGUGAGAGAGCAGUUGUGGGGUUUAGUUGCCCAGCACGGUAAAACCACCACAGCAAGAAGGCAAAUACUGUGUUGUAGCUGUGUGUGUGUGUGUCAGAUGCUGCAACACCAUGGUCUGUAGCGACAGCCACAGGCAUCGAACCUAUUUACACACGACAAAGCUAAGAUUAUAGAUACUUGGAAACUCGACAAGCAACUAGCUUCAGAACAAGCUUUACACGACAUACUGGGAGAAAAAUGAAAAGUGGAGAUGCCGGGGAUUGAACCCGGGGCCUCAUACAUGCAAAGCAUGCGCUCUACCACUGAGCUACAUCCCCUUCAUACUUAGCGCUCUCCCAGCAGUGUAGACAUAGCUCAUCCAGCGUCCACAGCGCCGUGCAGCCCUGCCGCCUCUGCUCCUCGCCGCCCCCUGCACCCAGCAGCACGGCCGGGCCAGGGAGCGGAGGCCUGCAGCGCUCCGGCCUUAUAGUGGCACCCGGGGAGAACUUUCCCAUGUAGCUACUGUCCUCGUUAGUAUAGUGGUGAGUAUCCCCGCCUGUCACGCGGGAGACCGGGGUUCGAUUCCCCGACGGGGAGGUUGUGCUGUUUUGUGCUCGGCGGUGGUGGUGCAAUGUGACCGAGGCCGUUACUUAGUGGGACGGGGAAGAACAUGCUUUCUCCAGGGAUCCUCACUCGAUCGCUAGUCUGCCAGUGGCUGACAUGGUAGAAAGAUGUGCUUUUCUAUUCCAUUUUUGUGAAGUUAGAGGCAGUGCCAAUUUAAAUUUUGACUGAGGCUCUGCAAUGGUGUGUUGAGGAAUUUUUGAAACAGCAAGGAGGCCAUGACUUGCUGCAGCUGAGCAAACCAAGAUACCAGGACGACUACGAGGAAUUCCCAUGACGAUGUUUUCUUAUCGCCCGACUGAGGAAUUAAAAAUAUUGUUGCAAGCAGCUGGCACUUCCUUCAAGGACUACACUACGUGACUGCUAAUCACAAAGGGGUUGUUUUCUUCCAGGUGGGGUUGUUUUCUUGCAGUUGUUUCUCUGAGUGCUUUCAACCAAUAAUCUUGUGUGAAACUCUAUCCGCCCCUGCUAAAUUUGCUAUAAGAGUCAGACUAUUUAGGUAAUAAAGAGAGAGCAUGAUAUGACCGUAUUGUAGUG